UGGAUAUUUUUAGUGAAAAAAAAUCAUAUAAGGGUCAAAUAUCAAAGACUAAUUUGUUUGAAGAUGAAUCCGUGCAAAAACUUAGACAAAAGUGGUUGAAAUCACCGGGAUUUGUUGGAUCACAGCUUAUAUUGAAUGAGAAUAAUUCCUCAAUAAGCAGAAACCGAACCCAACAAUGAGGCAUUGACAUGACUUUGGGGUUGUAGUAAUUCUAAAGCUUACUUCCCGUCUCAGAGAAGGUAAUCUACCAUGACUAGAAGUUUGGUGGUGAUAUUAUUGCACUUCAGAAUGUUUCUGUUGGCAUGUUAACUAGCUGAUGGUAUAAAUCCUGUGCAGUGGCAUUGACAUGAUUUUGCAUGAGCAGUGCUGGCCUAUUGUCUGGAUAUGGGGUUGUCGGAAUUCUAAAACUUUACUUCCGGUCCCAAGUUUAUGUUUAAUUUGCAUUAUUUUCAAAGGGGUUGGCUUCUGCUAUAUACAUAUUGUUUGUCAGAAAGCUACUCCCUCCAAUUUAAAAUAAGUGGUGUUUUUGGCUUAUGCACACCCCUUAAGAAAUUGCUCACUCCUAGAAAAUUAGAGGAGUGUAUUUACUAACUUACCGCUAAUCAAAUGCCUAGAAAAAGAGAAGCUACUUAAUGAUUCUUGAUUAUGUAAAUAAGGGUAAUUUUUGAAGAAUAAGAUCAACUUCCUCUUGAAAUCCUAAAGCACCACUUAUUUUGAAACAGAAAAGCCUAAAACACCAUUUAUUUAGAAACGGAGGGAGUAUGAUAUUCACACACACACUAUAAAGUUUAAAGGUGUCUUCGCCACUGGUCCUAUGAUCAUCUGCCGUGGUAACUUUGCCUACUCACCUUACUGAGAAUAACCCUGAAUUUGAGCUGUUAACAUGCGGGUGGGGGGUUGUUGACAAAUUAUAUGUCGACCACCUUGAACAAUUUUCAUGGUCAGAGGGAAACUUGACAUCAUGCAUUUCAUUCAAUGACACUUCCUCUUGAUCUUCACUCUGCUCCUCUUUUACCGACUUGCCAUCAUCCUCCCCAACAUUCUCUGCUAUCCCCUCCUUCAUUUCCACAAAUAAUGUCGAGGGUUUGGGCUUGCAUCAAUGUCCCCGAAAGUACUUUUAGCUUCUGUUUUCAUAAUAGAUUGUAUGUGAGGUAACAGGAAGUUGAAAGGUUUGUCGAUGGAAGAAUAGAUGGCUUGGGGGCAUGGCUAGGGAAAUUUUUGUUAGGUGCUUGGUUUCAGGCUUUUUAUUGGAAGGAAACUGGAUCAUGGAGUAGAAUUGUGCUUAUGGGAUUGAUGGAUUCUCACACUACUUGGCUACUUCAUACACAUCUAUAAGAGUUGUAAAAUGCUUAUGGCAUUGAUAGAUUCCUCAUGGGUACUUGGCUACUUAAUAUACAUCAGGAUUAGAUAUCAUAGGCAUCAAUCUGUAAUAAAAUAUGAAUUUGACUUAUGUGAAUGAGUGGUUUUACAAUCCCUCUUAAAUUCUGGUUUUCCGCCAUUGCAAUUGAAAGAAUGCAAAUAAAGAGCUAAAAAAUGGGGUUCAAAUAUGUAUUCUCAAUGUUCUCCGUUGUGAUUACGGGCUUAUUUUGUAAAGUUGAGAGCAGAGAUGCCCCGUUGGAUAUUCCCAUAACUGACUCUAAUAAACUAACAACGAUGUUAACUGACUUUCCUCUUUAACAUUAUGCAGCUUAGCAACUAUUGCAUGGCGACAGUGAUCAAGCUAUUGCCUUUCUUACAGAAAGAUGUCUUGAAUUACCAAUAUCUCUUGCUAAGUCCUCUGCAAUCAGUCUUUGUUUGGUUCUGUAUCUCUUCACCGUAUCACGACAGUGGUCACCUUUUCGUUUUGAGUUAUCUCCUUAAACAUUCUUAAUGUUCUCUGAGGAUAGCAUAAAAUUAUUACUCACAUGUUACUAAUAUAGUGCUCCUAAAUUUUUUUCCCUUCACAGAGAAGGUAAUCUACCAUGACUAGAAGUUUGAUGGUGAUAUUAUUCCACUUCAGAAUGUUUCUGUUGGCAUGUUAACUAGAUUUCAACUCUAUAAGUGCAUGCAAUUUUAUCUUUGAAGUAAUUCUCUGGAAAGACUCAUUCUCCUUCAGUAGACCUGCGAGUAUGGGCUUAUCCGGAAUUUCCGUGCACUCAAAUAGAUGAAGAUAAAAAAUAUCAUUUGGUGAGUUGGGAGAAAGUUACAGCUAAAAUUAGGAUGGAGUGGGUAUCAAAGACUAAUGAUGUUUUACCGAGCCCCUCUUGAAAAAAUUCCUGAGGUUUGCAACUGAGGAGAACAUUUGGUUGAAAGAAGUGAUACAAGUGAAGGUAUGAGGUCAGACAAUGUAAAUGGUUCUCUGAUGAGGUGACUUAAACACUGUUUUUUCCGCUUAAUGGAAGGUAGAAUCUGAAUGGUUCCACUAUCAAAUUCGAUUUUUAUUCCUUUCAACCACUUAUUUGCUCUUAAUAGGUAUGAGUUUUCAGCUCGUGUACAGAGUCUUAAAUUUUUUAAGACGAUAUUCACCUAAAAAUUCCUAUGAAGGUGACCUUCUAUCACCACUUUGUCUACUACCACCACACAACAUCAAUCACUACUUUCGCCGCUGGUCACCAUCGUACAGCUGUCACCACCAGCCAUCACUGUACUACCACUACCACCACCACCAGCCAUAACUAAACAAUCAUCAGCCCCGGGCACCUCCACCAGCCACCACAGCACAACCAUCGCGCCAACCACUAUCUUCGCCAGCUGCUGCUGUCCCUACCUUUUAGAGCAUGCUUCAUCAAACAAAAACUUUAAAUUACCAUGUAAACUAAAAUUUUCUCUAAUAUCUUGUGGAUAUAAUGUCUCAUUGUUAUUUUUUAAAAUUAUUAUGUUUUUAUAUUAGAUAAAAACAAAAUUAGACACAUUCAGGUGAUGGCAGAACUAUCUUAAUCAUUCAAUAUUCAGACUUAGAGACACUAUCUUAAUAAUCUUAUGUGUAUUGAGAUUCAGACAUCAUAAUCUUAAAUAAACAAAUGAGUUGAUCAUAUGGGACAAGCUUAUGCAAAGUGAUUAUGAAGGGGAUGCAGGAUUUUACAAUAUUUAUCGUCUUUUCAAUUGGAAAUGGGAACCAAAUUUGGUUUAAGCUCGAUGUGGUGAGGAGAUGCUGGUAAAGAUCCGUUACAGAAAUCAAGACAGCAGUAGGAAGGAUGAAGUAAGUUUCAGAAAAUAUACACCGGAUAGGGGAAUUCAUAUGGUGGACAGAUUGCUGCACUAGCUAUGCAGAAUUGUACAGUUUGGAGGGGACAAUAAGAUAGUGUGGGAGGGUUCUUCAUUAGCAGUCAUUCUCAUGUCUGAAGGUGUUAUGAGAUUGGACACCAACAACUACAACUGUCUCAAUCCCAAGAUAGUUUACAUCGGCUAUAUGAAUUCUCAGCACCAAUCUGAGCAUGAAUUCCAAGAGAUUGUAAGUCUUUCAAGACAAUUUCAUUCCAUGUCAUUAUCCAUUUGGACACCACUAUUGAAAAUGCAGCCAGCCAAUUGAGUGGCAUUGUUUUUACCUGGUGUGCAAUACCAGGAGAGCAGACACUAACAACUUAAGGAGAAGGAGAUGCAUAGUGGUCAGUUGGUGUGCAUGAGUAAAAAUCGCGACGAACAUGUAGAUUACCUUUUUAUUACAUUGUAGGUUUGCGACAGUUAAUGAGCCAUGAUAUUGUUGAUUUUCGAUAUCCAUUGGUUUUCUCGAAACAAUCGUGGAAGCACUGGUGAGUUGGAGACUGGACAAGCUAAAUGUGAGUAGGAGUGGAGAACCUUCUAUGAAAAGAGAGAGUUAUGGAGAACCACUCCCCUGUGCAUUUUUGGCUACUAUGGGAGGAAUGAAUAUGAGGAUUUGCCUAAUAUAAAUGAAUAUGAGGAAUUUUGAUAAAACUGAGUGUUCACUGUUAAACGUUAAAAAUCUGUAUUUUUUCACUUCUUGUUUUGGUCUAAAGAGGAAGCUCCUUACUGUAAAGUUGAUUUUGAAGGGCUUAUUGAUUUUGUACCUAAUGGUUUUACACCUAGCAACAUUUUGGUGUAUAUAAUCAAAUUUACUUACAACAACAACAACCCAGUGAAAUCCCACAACGUGGGGUCUGGGGAGGGUAGAGUGUACGCAGACCUUACUCCUACCAAGGUAGGACGGCUGUUUCCGAAAGACUCUCGGCUCAAUAAAAAAAGCAUAAAAAGAGGUCAGAUAAGGCUAAGAGAUUCAAAGCGAUAUGAAAAUGAAAUAACGCAAGCGACACAGAUAACAUAGGAUAAUCAAAGCACAGGAAAUAACAGAUAAUAGCAGAAAAUACUACAACAGAGAACAGGAAAUGAAAAUAGCACAGGAAAUGAAAUAAUAAUUUACUUAAUUAUUAUAAAAAACACAAUUUUCUGUUCUUCUCCUUACAAAAAACAUAAACAGAGGACUUCUGCUUUCUCCAAGAAGAAACAAAGGGACAGACCAUAGAAACAAGAAGAGCGGUCGGAGAAGGAGAAGACAAAAACGAUUCUCUCUUUCUCCCAAAAGAAAAAUGAAAGGAAAUAGAAGAUGUGGGCAGUCAAACUUUUUUGCCAAAAGAAAAAUGAUAAGAAAAAAAAAAAAAAAGAAGAAAGAAAAUGUACCCUUGAAGAUCACUGUUCCUUGCGCUUCGUCCAACUCUGAUCAUUGAUGAUCUUCUCACGUCGUUUGUUCUCUGUUGUAGUAUUUUCUUAUUGUCUUUUCAUGAGAUUUUGAGUGUUGGCAGUCAUGUGGGUGAGGCAUACAAAUGAUGUCGAGCAUUAUUUCAAGAGGGUAUCCCUAAAAGUUGAUGUUCAUGUGGGAUGGACCAAUAACAGGACGACACAAAUCAAUAGCCUCUUUACUGAAAAGAACCCUCAAAAGUUUUCUUUUUCUUUUUAAGAUAUGUAUCAAAUUCUAUGUCACCAUUGGUCCUUUGGGGACCCUUUUUCAUUGAUGUUGACACCGUUAUUGAGGAGUUGUCCAUUGACUUAAUCUUUUUCUGCAGCUUUUUGAGGAGAUAUUGGUUUGUUGGUUCAAUUGUUUUCAGCUGAAAAUGCCUUUCAUAAAAUUCUCCUCAUAACAUCCAAGUUAUGUUGUCUUUACUUUUUAGCAUUUUUGGAGUUCUUGGAACCUUCUUAGUAAAAAGUUUGUGGGGGGCCAUUUUAGAAUCUGUAUUAUGUGGGUGUUAGAGAAUUCUGACAUAGAGCAAUCUGAUAGUAUCUUAAAGAAAGGUGCCUUCUUAUCUGAUUA